CACGCAUUCGCUGUGGCAUUGUUUCGAUAAGCUUUUGCAAUGUCACAAGAUUUAUUUCCGUCCAGUGUUGCAUUAAUUUUUCACCAAGAUCUUGUAUUGAUGGGAGAGUCGGACUACUACGCGAAGCCUUCUCCAGCACAUCCCAAAGAUUCUCAAUGGGGUUAAGGUGUGGACUCUGUGGUGACCAAUCCAUGUGUGAAAAUUAUGUAUCAUGCUCUCUG